rnacentral:rRNA from 1 species
CCUACGGGAGGCAGCAGUGGGGGAUAUUGGACAAUGGGGGAAACCCUGAUCCAGCGACGCCGCGUGAGUGAAGAAGUAUUUCGGUAUGUAAAGCUCUAUCAGCAGGAAAGAAAAUGACGGUACCUGACUAAGAAGCCCCGGCUAACUACGUGCCAGCAGCCGCGGUAAUACGUAGGGGGCAAGCGUUAUCCGGAUUUACUGGGUGUAAAGGGAGCGUAGACGGCAGCGCAAGUCUGGAGUGAAAUGCCGGGGCCCAACCCCGGAACUGCUCUGGAAACUGUGAAGCUGGAGUGCAGGAGAGGUAAGCGGAAUGCCUGGUGUAGCGGUGAAAUGCGUAGAUAUCAGGAGGAACACCGGCGGCGAAGGCGGCUUACUGGACUGUAACUGACGUUGAGGCUCGAAGGCGUGGGGAGCAAACAGGAUUAGAUACCCCGGUAGUC